rnacentral:tRNA from 1 species
GGGGUUGUGGCUCAGUGGUAGAGUCCUUGCCUAGCGUGCACGAGGCACUGGGUUCACUGCCCAGCACCACA